rnacentral:rRNA from 1 species
CCUACGGGAGGCAGCAGUGAGGAAUAUUGGUCAAUGGGCGGAAGCCUGAACCAGCCAAGCCGCGUGAGGGAUGAAGGUUCUAUGGAUCGUAAACCUCUUUUAUAAGGGAACAAAGUGGGGGACGUGUCCCAUUAUGAAUGUACCUUAUGAAUAAGCAUCGGCUAACUCCGUGCCAGCAGCCGCGGUAAUACGGAGGAUUCGAGCGUUAUCCGGAUUUAUUGGGUUUAAAGGGUGCGCAGGCGGCCUGUUAAGUCAGCGGUAAAAUCGCGGGGCUCAACCCCGGUCCGCCGUUGAAACUGGCGUUCUGGAGUGGGCGAGAAGUAUGCGGAAUGCGUGGUGUAGCGGUGAAAUGCAUAGAUAGCGCGCAGAACUCCGAUUGCGAAGGCAGCAUACCGGCGCCCAACUGACGCUGAAGCACGAAAGCGUGGGUAUCGAACAGGAUUAGAUACCCCUGUAGUC